rnacentral:rRNA from 1 species
UUCGCCAGGGGACUACAAGCAUAGCUUAAAACCCAAAGGACUUGGCGGUGCCUCAGACCCACCUAGAGGAGCCUGUUCUAGAACCGAUAAUCCCCGUUAAACCUCACCACCCCUUGUUUCUCCCGCCUAUAUACCGCCGUCGCCAGCUUACCCUGUGAAGGCSUAUCAGUAAGCAAAACGGGCUCAGCCCUAAACGUCAGGUCGAGGUGUAGCGCAUGAGGUGGGAAGAAAUGGGCUACAUUUUCUACCACAGAAUAUAUACGAAUGGUAUCCUGAAAUAUAAUACCUGAAGGAGGAUUUAGUAGUAAAAA